rnacentral:misc_RNA from 1 species
UUCAGUUAUGCCCUGUCGAUCAUCGGCAUCGGCCUGCUCUGGCUGCUGAAAUCGUAUCCUAAUUUCUGGCUUCUGACCGCGUUCGUCGUGAUAUUCGGCAGCAUGAUCGGCUCGCGCGGCCCGCUGAUCACGGCAACCGCGAUGAAGAUUUUCCGCGGCGAGCGCGUCGGCACGAUCUAUGGAACGAUUGUCAUCGGCAGUGGUCUUGGCUCGGCGUUCGGCUCAUGGGCCGGCGGCCG